rnacentral:misc_RNA from 1 species
UCCCCGUUGCCGAGGCAGUCUUGUAAGAAAAAUACAACUUACAAUAAGGGUUGCGCUCGUUAAGGGACUUAACCCAACAUCUCACGACACGAGCUGACGACGACCAUGCAUCACCUGUCACUGCGUUCCUCUUGCGAGGCACAGUCGCCUUUCGGCGACCUUCGCAGGAUGUCAAGCCUAGGUAAGGUUCUUCGCGUUGCAUCGAAUUAAGCCACAUGCUCCGCCGCUUGUGCGGGUCCCCGUCAAUUCCUUUGAGUUUUAGCCUUGCGGCCGUACUCCCCAGGCGGAGUGCUUAAUGCGUUAGCUGCGGCACAGAGCGGGUUGAUAUCCGCCCACACCUAGCACCCAACGUUUACGGCUAGGACUAC